UAGGUGCUGCAUGGUUGUCGUCAGCUCGUGCCGUGAGGUGUCGGCUUAAGUGCCAUAACGAGCGCAACCUCAUCAUUAGUUACCAUCAGGUAAGGCUGGGGACUCUAAUGAGACUGCCAUCGUAAGAUGUGAGGAAGGUGGGAUGACGUCAAAUCAGCACGGCCCUUACGUCCGGGCGACACACGUGUUACAAUGGGUGGUACAAAGGGCAGCUACCUGGCGACAGGAUGCUAAUCUCGAAAACCGCUCUCAGUUCGGAUCGGAGUCUGCAACUCGACUCCGUGAAGCUGGAUUCGCUAGUAAUCGCGCAUCAGCCACGGCGCGGUGAAUACGUUCCCGGGCCUU
rnacentral:rRNA from 1 species